UAGGAUAUAGCUCAGUGGUAGAGUGCUUAGUUGGCAUGUGUAAGUCCCUAGGUUCAAGCCCUGGUAUUUCAA
rnacentral:tRNA from 1 species